rnacentral:rRNA from 1 species
CCUACGGGAGGCAGCAGUGGGGAAUAUUGCACAAUGGGGGAAACCCUGAUGCAGCGACGCCGCGUGAGUGAAGAAGUAUUUCGGUACGUAAAGCUCUAUCAGCAGGGAAGAAAAUGACGGUACCUGACUAAGAAGCCCCGGCUAACUACGUGCCAGCAGCCGCGGUAAUACGUAGGGGGCAAGCGUUCUCCGGAUGUACUGGGUGUAAAGGGAGCGUAGACGGCAGCGCAAGUCUGGAGUGAAAUCCCAUGGCUUAACCAUGGAACUGCUUUGGAAACUGUGCAGCUAGAGUGCAGGAGAGGUAAGCGGAAUUCCUGGUGUAGCGGUGAAAUGCGUAGAUAUUAGGAGGAACACCAGUGGCGAAGGCGGCUUACUGGACUGUAACUGACGUUGAGGCUCGAAAGCGUGGGGAGCAAACAGGAUUAGAUACCCGGGUAGUC